rnacentral:lncRNA from 1 species
CUCGAGGCCCGAAGCCACCGCUUCCUCCCCCGCCUCCCCAUUCAGGAACAAAGAAACGCCACUGUACAUGCACGGUUCCCGGCCUGUGGAGUUGUGGGCGGAAGGCGAUGUCUGGCCUUUUUUGCACAGCUGCUGUUGCCUGCCCAGAGAUCGGGAACUCUGCCCCGUAGGACUGGAAGAAACCUCAGUAAUGGGAAUAAGACUUUGUCCAAUAGGGGGCUGAUGAAUGUGUGGGGGCGACAAUGGCAAGGAGUGGGACUCCCGGCCUGGGGUUCGCCAACCCCAGGGGCCACAGGUCCUCCUACAAUUGAACCAGAAUUCACCCACCUGGGCCUGCCCUGUGCAGGGUGCCGAGAGCCCAGGGAUGCAUGAGAGGGUGGCUCCUGCCUCUGGGAACUGGGACAGUGGGAGAGACGGAUAAGUUGUCACACAGAGGCUGCUGGGAGGAAGGAGGAGACCGAAGGAGUAGGGGAUGGGACUUCAUUCAUUCAUCAAAUGCACACGAGGCACAAAUGGGAAUCAAGGGUGGAUGUGCUGUGAUGAAGAGAAGUCCUGCCCUGAACAAGGUGGCGCUGUGGAGGAGGCAGAGAUCAGAUUUGUCUGCGGAGGUGUUAUGGACUGAACUGUGUCCCUGCCCCAAAUUCCUAUGUUGAAGGCCUAACCCCCAUGUGACUGUAUUUGGAGAUAAGGCUUUUAGGAAGUCAUUAAAGUGAGAUGAUGUCAUAUGGGUAGGGUCCUAAUUUGAUAGGAUUGGUGGCCUCAUCAGAAGAACAAUGUCAUGGGCACUCACAGAAAGGAGGUGGCCGUCUGCAAGCAGGGAAGAGGCCCCUCACCAGAACCUGAGGGUGCUGGCAGCUUGGCCUCGGCCUUGGGCAUCCAGCCUCCAGAACCAUGAGAAAUAAAUGUUUAUGGUAGGUCUAUGAUGGCAGCCUGCUUGGACUGAACCGGCGGUGAGACAGGGCUUCAUGCAGGAGCAGACCUUUGAGCUGGGCCUUGAAAGUUGAGCAGGAAUUUGCUGGAAGGAUAAGGGAGGAAGGCUCUUCUAGGAGGAGGGAAUGGUAAGUGCAAAGGUGGACAGCCCGCCAGUGCAUGUGUUCUGGUAACAAAGAACGAGAUGUUUGGCCGGCUGGAGAGUGGGGUGAGG